UCAGUUGGCCGGACGGCCGCUGCUCGCAAGGCUCGCGCCUUCGGGUGGAGGAAAGUCCGGGCUCCACGGAAACACGGUGCCGGAUAACGUCCGGCGGGGGCGACCUCAGGGAAAGUGCCACAGAAAGCAAACCGCCCCGGAUGCGUUCGGGGUAAGGGUGAAAGGGUGCGGUAAGAGCGCACCGCGCGGCCGGCAACGGUCGCGGCAGGGUAAACCCCACCGGGAGCAAAACCGAAUAGGGACGACAGACCCCGGGCUUCGGCUGCGGGGUCAGGCGCGUUUCCGCGCCGGUCGUCCGGGUUGGUUGCUAGAGGCGGUUGGCAACAGCCGUCCCAGAUGAAUGGCCGUCACGUGGCCCCGCGAGGGGCCGCCAUACAGAACCCGGCUUACAGGCUGGCUGACAUC
rnacentral:RNase_P_RNA from 1 species